rnacentral:lncRNA from 1 species
GCGAACCUGUCGAGAGGGUAAAAAGGAAAAUGCCUCUCCCGUUCUCUCUUCCCUCUCUAAAUAUGCUCUCGUUGAAUCUCUCAUCUCUCUCUAAAACCAGAUAGAAUGUAAAUCUCUUCAAUCUCCUCCUCUCGAGCAGGAGAAUGGAAAAGGAGUCCACCUCACUAAAGACAAGCACAAAGGCAAUGAAAGGUUUUUUCUCUCUCUAAAAUAUGGUUCCAAUAGCGGUUUUUCUCCAACCAGGAUUGGGACGUAUGAGUAUUGAAUGGCCUUUUCUCUCUCUAAAAUAUAGUUCUAAGGGUUUUCCUCCAACCUAAACUGGGGCACAAGAGUUCUGAAAGGAAUUUUCUCUCUCUACAAUCAGGUUCGAUGGAGAUUUUCUAUCGAAAACAAGGGCACAGAUUUUUAUCUAGCAUGUACUCUAUCUCUCCACCUCUCGCUUUCUUCUCUCUUCUCUCCCAUCGCCUCUUCUAUUUUCUCUUCUCUCCCAUUGCCUCUUCUAUGGACUAUCCAAUUUCGUUAUCUAUCUUCUCUCUUCCCUCUUUCCCCUCAAAAAAUGAGAGAAAUACUCAAAUAUACCACUGUGAAUCUUCUCCACAAAGGCCUCCCCUGAAUUUUAUUUUACGUAGGACACUUACCGAUUGGCGUUUACAUCUAUUACUCUUAUCUUCCUCUCGUUUUUCUCCAUAUCUGUUACAAAAUGGAGCUUUUAUCUAAGAUGAGAUAUUUAGUGAUUAAUAUUUUGAUUGAAAGUUAUGGAUUCCAUUGAACUUUGUAGGUUUUCAUUCAAAGUUUGAAGAUUUUUUUUGCCCUUGCACGACAGGAUUUGCAAUUUGCAGGUACGUCUGUUUUUCUUUUCUUUUUUCUUUUUUUCUGAAAUUUUAUGAUAUAUUGUCGAUUUUUUUGAUACACUUUUGUUUUCUUGCAGUGAAAUUUAUGGAAAAUGAAUAAUUUCUUGCAAAGAUUUUGACUGUCGAUAUUAAUUGUUUUCUUUAUUUUUGACAUGAUGUGGAUUUUCCUAAAAAUUCUGGGGGCACAUGCUUUUAUUUUUGGCUUAUAAAUUGCUUAGAAAACGAACAUAUUUAUGUGGUAUCCGUUUCUUUAUAUUUAAGAAAUAAUUAUAUGGAAUUAUCGAUGAUCAGUUUUUUUGGAUGCAUGCUCAUUGAUUUUGCUAUUUAUUGGAGUCAUGUGGUACUUGUAAAUCCUGAAUGUAAUUUUCAAAACAAAAAAUUGUUGAUGAGAAUGCCCAAAUUUCAUUUUGGUUGAAUAAGUUGAAUCAUCAUCUCUGCGUUCCUAGGAGUUUUUAGUUGAGCACAUUUUGUGCCCUCAAUGUCUAAUUGCAUGGUUGUAGGCCCCUACUGGCUAUGGCAGGCAGUAUGCUUGUUUUUGCCAUUCAAACAUUUAACAUGAUGCCUGCAUCCAAGGAGGUUAACCAUACACUUACUUGUUCAGUUUUCGGGACCUCAAAAGUGUUCCUGUCAGGAUUUGGCACACCUCGAAGGCGUCUAUGGGGGAAUUAAUAUGCUUAACAAUAGAUGAAAGUUGGGUUUCCCCACGGGCUUGUCCCUCACUUCAUUAGCCAUUACCCAUUCUUUUUAUUUUCAAGUUCAAUUGGUUAUUCAACUCUCAUGUAAUGGUUAUCCGGCUUUGAUUUGUUUCACAUUAACAUGAUUUUAGGGGCUGCUUCUUCUUGUAAUCGUGCCGGUGCAAAUGUUGAAACAUGUAAAGAUCUUAAUUGGACCAAGCAUACUUACAGGAACAACAACGCCUAAAUUUGGAACAACCCACAUUCUGCAAGAAUAUAAUUGAAACUGGGAGUAAAAUACAUUUGUCGUAUUAAACUGAGCUAAAAUUUCUCCUCUAUCUCUCUUGAUGGGGAACUUUGUGUCACAAAGUAUAUGGUUGAUGUAAAUAGACCCGAUCUAGAUUGCAUCCCAUCAUGAACAGAACCUCUAUUCAAAAUUGAAGUCCUGUCAUGUGAAUUGCAUUCAAUCAAGAUCGAACUCGUCAUUUAAAAAUGAGCGUGAUCCAAAUAAAAACACUCCUAAUCAAAUUCCAAAACAAGUACUACACCUCAUGAAAGUUACACCCACAACAAAAACCCAACUCAAAAUCCCAUUACAACAUAUGAUGAGAAUCUACUAGUCUUACAUUACCGUUAAUGCCAAUGGUACAUGGCCUAAAACAACAAGUAAUACAUCAUUUUUACAAGUAAAACAAGAAUCUACUAGUUUUCAUAUGACCAACUUAUCCUGCAUUUCGCCUUCUUCACAUCAAUAAGUAGAAUUAUAUACGUGCAAGGGGGCAAAAAUGUGUCAUCUUACUCGUUUUUGCCUACAUGACCGUAUGUCGCUAUUUAUUUUUGCUCAAUUUUUUAUCUUCCAAAGUGAUCCUCCUCUUUUGGCCAUGUUUGAUAACCACAAAAUAAUGCUCUCCGGUGGACACUGCCUGUCAUGGAAAUCGGGUAAUUUAAUAAGAAUAGAGAUUAUAAAAGAGAGUGCGUUAGAGAAAGAAUUGGGAAGUUCAAAGAGAAAAAAAGAAGUGGAAGAGGAGAUGAUCUUGAGUCUACCUCAACAAAGUUCCUUGAGUCCUCAAUGCCACUACCUCUAAAAAUGAAUAAUGGAAAAAUUUCUCGAGUCCUCAAUGCCACCACUUCAAACAAAGUAAACUGGAGAUUCUAUCGAGUCAUAAGCCACUAUCUCAUGGUUCAUCAUAAAAAUGUAGCCCAAACCUAAUAGAAACAUCAAAAUGAUAAGACAUAAUAUAGAGGGAGAAUAAUUUAUAAACUCAUAUUCUAUUAAAAGAAAUAUCCACAAUAAAUGCAAUGCUAAACAACCAGUGGACUCAACUAAAAAUACAAAAAUAUAAAACUAAAAAUAACAAAAACUCAGUGCAAUAAUAUGAAACCACUAUAAAAUAGCCACAAAAAAGAAAAAAAAGAGAGAAAUACAGAUAAAAACCCACUAAAAUAGGUAUAUAAUAACCGUAACUGAAUCAAAGAAACCUUCUUGAAUAUGCAACUCCCAACUCAAGUUUCUUAAACUUGCAGCUCCCUACCAUUCAAUCUAGACUUUUAUUAGAGAUCUGGGAGGGUUUUCAUUAUCCAUGCUUUAGGGUUCUUGUGGGUUUCUAGAUAUCAAAGGAGGAAGAGAUUAGGGUUCUUGUGGGUUUCUAGAUAUCAAAGGAGGAAGAGAUUUGGGGUUUUCUGUGAGAUAUUUUGGGAUUUUAGAAGGAGAAAUUUGGGGGUUUGAUUGGAGGCAAGGAGAGAUUUGGAGAAGUCAAUGGUGGGGCAAGGUUUUGAAAAUUUAUCUUGUGGAGAUAUGGCCAAAGGCUAUGAAAGGAGACAGAGACAGAGUGGAAGAAAAGGGGUCCAAGGUUUCAGAAAGAGAGUGAGAAUGGAGAUAGAGAGAGGAGAUGAAUGAUUGCAGGGAGUGAGAAAGAACGACAAGUGGGAGAAGUAUUGGCUCUGUUACAAAUAAAAGAGGGAGAAAAAGAGUAUCUUUGGUUUCGAAGAAAUAGAAUAGCUUUCCAUGUGCCCUAGUUUCAAAGAGAAUGGGUUGAUUACUAUUCGUGCCACCAUUAGAGAGAGAGGUAGGGGAGCAUGCCUCGGCUUUAGAGAGAGUGGGUUCCUGGUUGGUUAUAGUGAGAGAGAGAGAGAGAGCAUUUUGGAGAGUUCUAAAAAGAGAUGUGGGUGGUGUUACUUUAUUGUUACCGGUAACUGGCUUUAGAGAGAGUGGUUAGCCAAUGAACCCUCUUCCCAAUCUCGAGAUGGAGAAUAAGUUUAACGGUGAUCUUGAGGGGUCUUAUGCCAUUGCCAUUGCCAUUGCCAUUGGGGUGUGGCAGGGUCUCACAGGAAGGAUCAUGAUUGUGACCUUAAUUUGAACAAAAAUAUGUUUACCAAAAUGAAAACGACACUAUAUUUUUGGACUAAUAUCUAACAUGCACCGACCCUUGCAACUGUAGUUUGAUAAAAAGGAAAGCAAAAAGUUGAUAUAAGGUUGCAACCUUAAAAUGUAAUCUAAUGUAGAAUUAAGGUUGCGCCUUAAAAAUCGAUUGGAAAUAUUAUUUUAAUGUUGAAAAACUUUCUAAUUGAUCAUUUCAACAUCGAGAUAUAUGAAUAUAAAAAAAACAGAUUUCAAUUCCUAUAAAUAAUGCACUUGUAACACAUUAUCAAGAAUCUCAUAUGUUUAUAGAUCUUUAAAAUUUUACAAUUAGAGUUGGAAAUAGAUUUUCAGGAAAUCCUAAUAAUCUUUUGAUAUCAAAUUUGGAUGUGCACCUUAAUUGGAUUGUUUAAGCCAUUUUCAAACCACACCUAAACGAAAACCACCCUAGAAUCAGUUUUGAUAUCUUUUGAAAAAGAAACUUCUAUGUUUGUUUCCUUUUUCUUUUAUUUUUCAAUCCUUUUCGGCCCCAGACUUGCCUUGUUAGAUCAAAAUAUAUUUUAUGUGCGUCCCCCUCCAAAAAUACAUCUCAAAAAUCAAAUUCAGAUCAAAAUUUUAGGAUUUGCUACUAUCAACAGCGAAGAUGAUAGUGAAUCCAGAAUAUUUUUUUGGCAAAGUAAAAAUGAUGUUUCUUGAUUUAUUUAUUUUUUUCCACCGUCCAUUUUGAUAGCCAGUGGAGGCACCAGUUUUUGACAUCCAUAUUAGCGAUGGAUGACAUGCUCACAAACAACCGAUUCAAAAUCUGAAGGACAGCAAUUAUUGUGAUCUCAUUUUACUAAAAGAAAAUGGUCUCUUUGAACACGUUUCUUCUCACCCAAAAAAAAGGAGCCUCAAAAAACGGUGUACAUGUAGAAGCAUUCCUAAAGUUACAAGUUUUUAGAUUCAAUUUUGAGUUAAAUUCGUGUUAAGAACGCUAAGUUUAGAAUACACCAUGUCACUAAGAAAAUAUAAGUGUGAAAGUUGGGCACGAAACUUUAAUCUCUAGACAGCACAAUUGCUUCUUAAUUGGGAUUUGGGUUUGGAAAUCCAAGUUCUAAACAUUAUUUUAACUAAAAAUGGGUUUGGAACUUUUACCUUUCGGACUAUUUUUUCACAUAAGAAAUUUUUUAAUAAAAUAUCUUAGUUUAGAAAAAACCCCAAACAUAGAUAGUAUGAAAAACAUUUGAAAAUAAAAUAAAAUGAAAGAUAAGAAUUUUUAGGUAAAACAUAAAAAGAAAAGUGUUAUAUGAGGACCCAUGUGGCCCGUGACAAUCCAACAUCUAUCUUAAGGUGAAUGUUGAGAAAUAAGCACGCAAAACUAAUGGUGCCAAAAAAAAAAGAAAAAAAUUACUUUUGAUGAUUUAUUUAUUUUCAUUUUCAAGAUCAACAUGCCUAAAUCAUAACCUCUUAAAAAUUUAAAUUCAAAAUCCAUCUCUAAGACGGACUUUAAUUGGUGGGAUGCACAUGCACAUGUUGUGAUUCGUUGGACACAAAGAGAAAUUUCAUCCAAAAUGAAAGAGACCGUUUACCUUUAAAUGGGAUUGUAUACAAUAAAACAAUUUACCUUUGAUACAAGGUGGUUACAAUUACUAACAAUAUGAAAUUUGAUAGCUUGGAUGUGUCACAAGAUUCGAAAAAAAUUUCUUUUGAAGUUUGGGCUUGACUAUAGAAUAAAAUCAGCUACUUAAAUUUUCAUUCAAUAGUCAAGAUUAAUGUGACCACCCAAUACCAAAGGUAAAUAGUCUCAUUAUGUACUUUUUCCUUUUACACAUCAAACUUGUACCAAGGAUUUUUCUUAAAUUGCCACCAAAAUAUCGAGUUAAUUAGAUACACACCUAAGGAAUGGCGAAUUAGAUACACAACUAAGUAAUAUAUAUAUAUACAGUAUGGUCCACAUUGGCACGGCAAAAACGGUGUAGCACUCGAUCACAAUUCAAGUGGAUUGUGAUGGUGUUCACGAUAUGUAAAUGGAUCAUAUUACAGCGCGCCAACACAAAUAGACCUCAGAUUGGGAGAUAAUAGUGUAGACAUUGCUGAUUCAAAUCGAUAGAUCGUUGGGACCGGGAAUUAGUUCGUGAGCACUCGCUCGGUUUUAUUUAGGAUUCGGCGAUCCUGACUCACCGGAUUCCCUGGUUCCCACACAUGAUAAUUUUAUGUUUUAUUUUUCAAUUUAUUUUUUUUUAAAAAAAUUGGACCAAUUCUCACACUAAAUAAUCGGUCUGAUUCACAGAUCCAAAUCGGAUUUCCAAAAUGGCCGCUUCACCCAGUCAAUCGGAGGUUUUAAAGCACUUGCAGAGAGACCGACAGUUGUGAUUGUAGUUCGGAGCCAAGAGCUUGGACCCAAAAAAACAAGGAGUAAACUCAUAAGGGUAUGAAUAGUCUUGUCUCCAAAUUUGACUAAUCUGUUAGCCAUUGAGAUACACAUCUUAAAUUAUAUUUUCAGGUUUAAUAGUUGAAAUGGAACAAUCUUUUAGAGAAUACUUGACAUGGAUGGUUAGUCAAAGUCCUGAAAACAUGAGAAGGAAUUUCUUGUGGAGGGGUGUUGAGAAGAAGAAAAAAAUGCUAUUUAGUGAACUGCAAGUCACCUCGUAUACCUCAUAGUCUUGGCAUUAGAAGACUUGAACACUUAAACAGUGACUUAAUCCUUCUUAAUAAGUGGUGAUAUAAUGCGUACUUUUAGGUUUACUGAAUUGAAAGGUUUGGCCAGCAUUGGAAAGAAAAGAAUUUAGAGAAGUCUACAAGGAAGAUAUCAUUCUUCAUGUGAAGAAAUGAAUUAUUUAAGGAGCAGAAGCUUCAAAAGCCUAGUAAAUUUUUUUUUUAGGCUUCAUCUCUCUAUAACUAGAAACAAGUUUUAUCAAGUUUUAACAAGAAGCUUACAUGCCUAGUGUUAUUGCUAUCACUUUGUCUUUUAGGAAAAGAGGCAACUUUAGUGCCGUAGAACUUGUAAUAGUUGUGCAUUUAAAUUGGCAAGUCAAAAUCCUCAAUGCUUUGCGCCUGUGCAUCCUGGAGAUAAAUUUGCUUGGUAAAAACAUAGAUGCACACAAAUUCAUAUUAGGAAGGAGCAAAUGUUGUCUUGAGAAAGUGAUUUGUUGGGCUUGGGAUCAAAGAGAUUAAAGCUUAUUUGUUUCGUUUACUUUUUAUUUUUUGCUCAAUUUCACCCAACACUUUUAGCAAAUAUUUUGUUGUUCACAAAUCUUUUUCCAUAUUUAGAAAUUGGAAUAUGCGUGGAUGUUUAUGCCUUCGGCUCACAUUAGUGGAUCCAAAUUACCAAAAUAUAUAACAAAUCCAAAAAAAAUAUUUUCAAUAAAAAUAUAGUCUAGGUUUGGAACUCAUAAUAAAUAAAAGUAUUCAUAUCAUUUGUUUUGAAUGAGUUAAGUGGUUCAAAUUAUUAAAAUGCCCUCACUUGUGUAGGAUUAUAAUUUCAGGACAAGGUUAGCUUGAAGUUCUUUAAACAAAAUUCCAAAUGACAUUCGCAAUAGGAAUCAUUUAUCUGGCAUUUCAAAAUGUUAGAUAGUUCAACUGUUGAUAAAUAUAAUUUGAUAUCUCUCUCUUUAUUUGUUGAGGUUGAUCUUUUUAAAGGGGGAAUUAUAAAAACCAGCCAAAUUGGGUUUUCUAGACAAUCUCCUCCCAAUUAGUUUUUUGCAUUGCAAUUUUUAUCCCAAUACAAAAAUUUAUAGUCAAUGCGGUCUGGCAACAUGGGCCAUACUAUCUGGCAUAUUUGCCCUACGGUCCACCAUUAUGUUCCAUAUAGUUCAACAUAUUUGGUCAGUCCAAGAGUAUAUUUUGUCGGUCCAACGCUACGAUACCUCAGUAUGGCAUAAAUUGUAUGCAGUUCGACAGAUUGCUGUUGUGGUCUGGCAAUUAAUGUGAUAUGGGUUCCGGUCCAACAAUAAUGUGCGUAAUCAUCUUUGGUGAUUGAGUGUUUAUGGAAAUGUACUCUUUCAUAUACAUUUAAAGUAUCCGCAAAAGUAAUAGGGGAUAUUUGCCGUAGAGGUUCGAUUUGAGGUAAAAAUUACAGUAAAAAGCUUGAUUGGGGGAGGAUAUAAAGAAAGUUUACCCAAAGAGGUUUUAAUAACUUUCCCUAGAUAUUUUCUCCAAACAAGAUUCAGGUCUCGCCUAACCUCCCUUAAAGCGCCCACCAGACGGCCAAGUUCGCGAAGCGAAACGGUUUUCAGACGAUGUCCUAGAAAACCCUAAAAUUGCAGAGAAAACCAACCUCCAUCUAUUUUCUCGCUCGUGCUUUUGGGAGACCUAUUCGAUCCUGAGAUUGCAUAGAAAUGAAGCCAUUUUUCCCUAACCCUAAAACUUUGCAGGGAAAACACAUUAUGUAUCUAUUGGUGGCCUUCUAGCUUGUGUCGUCCGUAAAGGCUCAUUCUUUCUCAAUUGAUCUCAGCACCCCAUUAUUCUGCAACUUUCCAUUAUCAAACGUUCCUUCACCUAUAGAAAAGAGGGACAUUGCGAUGCUUGAACAGAUGAAAGGUCCAGGAGUUUGCCAGAGUGUUUUUGAGAAAACGUAAUCCGAACACUAGAGUUGCAGAGACACCCGGUCAAUGCAGGCUUGCGAACUGUUCAUAGAUGGUAAAAAAUCGCUUUACUAUUACAUUUUUACAUUAGCUGCCAUUGUUCCGCAAUUCGUCAUGACCCAUUGUUCCCAUUCCCUAAAGAAAGCAGCUCAUAAAGUAUGCACCGUGUUAUUACAACCUAAAAACCGAACUUUUUCAACAAAUCUUUUGGAUGAGACCCUAACCCGAAAUUUCCAGGAAUGCCCAACUCUUUCCCCAAAUCUUUUGGCUCGAAUGCUAACUCUAAAUUUUCAGAAAAAACCAAUUUGCCCCCAAAAUCCUUUGUACAAAAACCUAGCCCUAAAUUUGCAGAGCAACCCGUUUCUUCACAGGCCAAGAGCCGUACAUUCCUCUGCUGAUUCCAUUCCAGAGGAGACUCCAUCAACCUCUGCUCACUCCGGUCCCCGAAUCUCUCGGUUUGCUCGCAAGGAAGCUGAAGAUGCUCUCUUGGACUAUCUCCACUUCACGAGAUGCUUAAGUUUCACUGACGCAGAGCACAUAAGCAAGAAUUCACCCACUUCUAUUCACUACCUCCUAUCAAAAGUUGUGAACAAGCAAGAGAUUGGUCGCUCAAUUGCGAGGUUUUUACGAUACCAUCCCAUUAAUGAAUUCGAGCCAUUAUUUGAAAGCUUGGGGCUAAAACCUUGUGAAUUUGCCUCUCUACUCCCUCGUGGCCUUAUGUUCUUAAGUGAUGAUCAAUUAUUGUUAGACAAUCUCCAUGUUCUGUGUAAAUAUGGUGUUUUGCAUAGUGAGAUAGGGAAUAUGUACAAGGAAGAGAGAGAAAUUUUCAGGCAUGAAGACGGUGUCUUGCUUUCGAAGCUCAAAGCUUGUGAGGAGCUGGGUUUCAGUCAAACUACUGUUGUAAAGAUUGUGGCUUCUUGUCCUUCUCUUCUUGUUGGGAAUGUUAAUGAGGAAUUUUCUAGGUUAAUUGUAGAAAUUGAAGGUUUGGGUAUUGAAAAAGAUUGGGUAGGGGGGUGUUUAUCCCCAAAGAACAAGUAUAAUUGGAAAAGAAUGUGGAGAUUAUUGUCCCUUUUGGAAAGGAUGGGUUUCAAGAAGGGGGAAUUAGCUGAAGUUAUUGAGAAGCACCCAAAUUUCUUCUUCGAAGGUUCAGGAGAGAAUAUGUAUAUUCUGAUUGCUCUAUCGAUGAAAUUGGGUUUUCACAUAAAUGAUAUCAUGAGCUUGAUUUGGAAUUUCCGGAGAGAUUCAAGCCCAAAUCUAGUGAAGAAUUUUUGGCAUGCGAUACAUUUCCUAUAUGGAGCUAGGUUAAAAGUCGGGGAUAUAGUUAGGCUCGUGCACUCACACCCUCGUGUCUUGAGUUCAUGCACUUUAAAAAGGCCCAAAUCGGUGAAGCAACAGCUGAAUGUGGGGAUCAAACGUUUAGGCUUGAUAAUUUUAGAGGACCCAAAUCGAUUAAGAGAUUGGGGAUUGGGGACGAAGCUGCACCCAGUUUCUGGUCCCUCAGAGGAUGAGCUAUCAUUACUCAAGAAGAUGCAAUUCUUGUUAAAAUUAGGAUUUGUUGAGAACUCAAAGGAGAUGGUCAAUGCUGUGAAGCAGUUUAAAGGCAAAGGGGAUGAAUUACAAGGGAGAUAUGACUGUUUAGUAGGAGCAGGAUUUGAACCUAAUGAAGUCUCUCACAUGACAAAGCUUGCUCCUCCAGUAUUGCAACAAAGCCAAGAAAAGCUCCUGAUAAAGAUAGAUCUCCUUGUAAAUAGAUUUGGGUAUCCUCUGAAAUGUUUGCUGCCUUAUCCCUGGUUUCUUUGUUAUGAUGUGGGAAGGAUCAAGCUUAGGUUUUCAAUGUAUGACUGGCUCAAGGAGAAAGGGGUAACCAGCCACACAUUGACUAUAAGUAGUAUUAUUUCCUGUUCAGAGAAGAGGUUUAUUGAGAGGUUUGUCAGUCUCCACCCUGAAGGUCUGGAGGUUUGGGAGGAAUUAAACAAAUAGAUGAUUUUGGGAUGAGGUUUUAUCUUUCAUUUCGAUUAGUUGUCUCGAUUUGCAGAGACAUAUGCAAGCUUUCAAUGAUUUAUCUUGUAAUCCUCACUUUGCAUCCUGUAUUUUUCGCUCUGCAUCUUUUAUCAAAAGGAUUCAUUAUACUGCGCAUGAUCUUGGCCAAAAGGCUAUAAAUUUUCAUGAUUAUACAAAUAGCCAAAGGAAAAAAAGGAUCCAGUACACAUUUUUUCUGUUGUGUAGCUGGGGCUCUGUCUUGGUUCAAACUUGAAAGGAUUCUUUCCUUAUUUUUAAGGUGAGGUCCCUUGAGCAUAUUUUUUCAGAAGGAGGUCACACUCGUGAGGCUCUGAUUUUCUGAAAAUUUUCUUACCAAAAUGUUUGUAAAAGAACUAGUUUAUUUUGGAUUUGUUUGGAGAAGAAUUGAUGAUGUGAUGGGUGAUUAGGGCCUUACAAAAUCUUACCAGACAUUCGAAGGUAUGGAGGUUGGGCAGGCAUUAAAGAAAUAAAUGUUCUUGGGAUGAGGUCUUAUCUUUCGAUUUGGUUCAAUUGUGUGGAUUUACUGAGCUAUAUGCAAGCUUUCAAUGCUUUAUCUUGUAUUCCUUACUUUAUUCUUUAUGUUGUCUCUCUGCAAUCUCUGAUUGAAAGGCUUUGUCAUGCAACACUUGAUCCUCGCCAGAGGGCCAAGAAAAGUAUACAGUUUCAUCAUCAUACAUUUUACCGAGAAUAACAUAAGAUGGAUUCAUUAAACAGUUUCUCCGUUGUGUUGCUGACAGUUUGUCUAGGUACAAACUUGUAAGGUUUCAUUUUUAUAGGCUUCCUUGAGUUUAUUUUCUCUGAAGGAGGUCACACUUUCAAGGCUCUGAUUGGCUCAAAAUUUCUUACCAAGGCAUUUAAACUUGGGGCAUGAAGAAACUAAAUCUAUUUUGGAUUUGUUUGGAGAAGAAUUGAUGGUGUGGAUGAGUGCUUAGGGAUUGGACAGUUUGAAUUUCUAUCUGAAAUGAGUUAAUCAAUUAAGUAUUGGUUUAGAGGGAAUAUGAGGUUGAGAUCCAAGUCAAACAUAAGAGAUUUUGGAUGGAGAAACAGAAUGGAGCAUGCUAUUUGGUGUUAGCCUUUUCUUAGUGGAGUCAUGUGUUGUUAGCGCAUAGCACAAAGUUCCAUUAUUUUAGAUUCUUAAUUUGACCUAAGCAUAGUCUAGAGUGACCCAUUAUUUUAUUAAGUCCUAUUGUGUAAUCCAUUCCUAUUAGUUGUGAGAAUAUCUAUUUCAUUUAAGAUCUUAUAUUUAUGAUGUCCUAUUGUUUUAGAUUCUUAAAUCACAAUGAUGAAUCCUCUUAGUUGUGAGAUGAGAAUAUAUCUUUUCAUUUCAAGCUUUAAAAAGCAUCUUUUACAUCUGUGAGAGAGAGAGAGAGUAGUUCAUCUUGUCCUCUUGCCCCUUCGUAGAGCCAGCCUUUAAGAAACAAUGGAAGCAAAGGAGACUACAUUUGAAGAAGAUGAACCUUGAAUGGUAGGAUUCUGGGUUGCUGGGACUCCGAGGGAAUGGUGCAUGCCAAACUUGUGUCAUGACCUGAAGAUGUAGUAGGAGGGACAAGCCUUGGUACUGGAGCACUCUGACGAGCUUCAUCAUCAGCAUCAACGCGGUUGCCUAAUGCUUCUAAUGCCCCAACAUAAUCCUCGAGGUGGUCAUCAUCAGGAUGAAAAUCUCAUCCUUUGUACUUGUGGGGUAUUUUUAUGGACCAUUGCAAUUCAGAUUUUAAUGCAAGGGGAACUUUGGCAACCAUGCCAUGAAUAUAUGUUCAAUUUAAAACAAAGUAAACACUUUCAAAGUUAGUACCAUUUUCGAAACAUGCUAUAUAAACAGAUAGUGUUAAGGUAUAUGCCUGUCAACCAUGGCAAGAUUGGACCUCAGGUGAUCGAUGACAUGUUUUUGUAUAUGAUCAUACUCCAGUCAUUUCUGUGGCAAUCCUACCAUGAUUAUUUUGAAUGGUUCUCCUUUUUUCAUAAGAGUAGGGUCGUAUUUUCUGCUAAAUUUUUUGACCUAUUAAAUCUUUAUUAUACUGUAUGAACCUUGGUUUUUCUUGGAGAAUUUGCUGAUCAAAACUGCAUUGUCCUUUCUUUGUUAUUUAUUACAUCGCAGAUUUGUCAAUAGCCACCAAAAGACCAAAUUUUCUAUGAAUUUCAAAGUCUCAGUAAGUUUUGACUUGACUUGAAAUCUUUGGUUCCUAGGUCUCAGACAUCCGAUAAUGUUUCGAUCCCCUUUUACUGGAAUAAACCUGGUUCAACGUUUUCUAAUUUUAUAUUGAACAAGGUUAUGCAUAUCUAGGAACAGAUGAUUCAUGACAUUGCAUGUUAUAGGUCAGAAUGGCAUUCAUAUGCUUACUUUGUUGUGAUUUAGCAGAAGUGAACUUGGCUGAAAUGAAGGGCUUUUUUUUUAUUAUUAGUUAUUUAUUUAUUUUUAUCAUAAUGACUCACUCUGUCAAUACUAAAAAAAAUAAAAGAGAAAAAUGGUUUUUUUCUAUCAAAUUCAUUUUUCAUAUGUUCAAUCAUUUUCUUAACAUUUCUUAAAAACUUUGAUGGCGUUGUAGCUAGAACACGCUGGGUUGUGAAAACCAUCCGUUUCUUUUCAAUAUGGGCCAUCCUUUGAAAAGGCUACAAGCUAUAUUGAAAGAAAAAGAGUGGCACAUAGAAGUUUUUUCGGUAUGGUGACUGCAGAUGUUGUUUUUUAUUAACAUAAUCAUCGUACUUAUAUGAUUUUAUCUCGUUUAACUUUAUUGUUACAGUUUUUCUUUUUCAUGCAAAUGUUUUUCCUGUAUCAUCUGAAUUCUUCGGAAAAUUUUCUUUACAUAAAUAAAAUUUCUGAUCACUUUAUUUAUUAAUUAUAAGGUUUUUUUUGUAAGAUCACAAACAUGACUUGAUUCGGAAAUCUACUGUAGCGUUGGAGUGGAAGAUGAAGUAGUGAAUCCUCAAUUCUUUCAUUCACUCGUUGGCCGAGUGGAAGACGAUAGCCUCCACUCGAAAGUAGUGAAUCCUCAAUUCCUCAUACACUCGAUGUUAAUUUUUGUGUUAUUCUUUCUUUUGACUUUGUCCAUCUCAUUUUGUUAAUUGGUGUAUCAAUUCUUGUAAAAAUUUGUGGGGCAGAUAUUUCACAAUCGCCGAGGGUAAGGUAUCUAUUGGACAUAAAAGAUCAUUUUCUUCAAUCAUAUUCCACAGAAGUAAAUUAUCGUACCCAAUCUGGUCAUGGAUCUUAUCAAAAAGAAGGCGCCAUGAAGUGGACCCAAGGGUCGUC